UACGGAGGGGGCUAGCGUUGUUCGGAAUUACUGGGCGUAAAGCGCGCGUAGGCGGCUUUGUAAGUUAGAGGUGAAAGCCCGGAGCUCAACUCCGGAACUGCCUUUAAGACUGCAUCGCUAGAAUUGUGGAGAGGUGAGUGGAAUUCCGAGUGUAGAGGUGAAAUUCGUAGAUAUUCGCAAGAACACCAGUGGCGAAGGCGGCUCACUGGCCCGAUACUGACGCUGAGGUGCGAAAGCGUGGGGAGCAAACAGG
rnacentral:rRNA from 1 species